GAUGAAGAACGCAGCGAAAUGCGAUACGUAGUGUGAAUUGCAGAAUUCAGUGAAUCAUCGAAUGUUUGAACGCACAUUGCACCUCUCGGUAUUCCGGGAGGUAUGCCUGUUCGAGCGUCAUUUGUACCCUCAAGCUCUGCUUGGUGUUGGGUGUUUGUUCCGCCUCUGUGUGUGAACUCGCCUCAAAACAAUUGGCAGCCGGCGUACUUGUUUCGGAGCGCAGCACAUUUUGCGAUCCAGAUCAACGUACAGCGGCAUCCAAGAAGCCUUAUUUAACGCUCUUGACCUCGGAUCAGGUAGGGAUACCCGCUGAACUUAAGCAUAUCAAUAAGCGGAGGA
rnacentral:misc_RNA from 1 species